rnacentral:rRNA from 1 species
AUUGAACGCUGGCGGCAGGCCUAACACAUGCAAGUCGAAUGGUAACAGGAAACAGCUUGCUGUUUCGCUGACGAGUGGCGGACGGGUGAGUAAUGUCUGGGAAACUGCCUGAUGGAGGGGGAUAACUACUGGAAACGGUAGCUAAUACCGCAUAACGUCGCAAGACCAAAGAGGGGGACCUUCGGGCCUCUUGCCAUCAGAUGUGCCCAGAUGGGAUUAGCUAGUAGGUGGGGUAACGGCUCACCUAGGCGACGAUCCCUAGCUGGUCUGAGAGGAUGACCAGCCACACUGGAACUGAGACGCGGUCCAGACUCCUACGGGAGGCAGCAGUGGGGAAUAUUGCACAAUGGGCGCAAGCCUGAUGCAGCCAUGCCGCGUGUAUGAAGAAGGCCUUCGGGUUGUAAAGUACUUUCAGCGGGGAGGAAGGGAGUAAAGUUAAUACCUUUGCUCAUUGACGUUACCCGCAGAAGAAGCACCGGCUAACUCCGUG